rnacentral:rRNA from 1 species
GAUUAAGUUAUUAAGGGCGCACGGUGGAUGCCUUGGCACUAGAAGCCGAUGAAGGACGUUACUAACGACGAUAUGCUUUGGGGAGCUGUAAGUAAGCUUUGAUCCAGAGAUUUCCGAAUGGGGAAACCCAGCAUGAGUUAUGUCAUGUUAUCGAUAUGUGAAUACAUAGCAUAUCAGAAGGCACACCCGGAGAACUGAAACAUCUUAGUACCCGGAGGAAGAAAAAGAAAAUUCGAUUCCCUUAGUAGCGGCGAGCGAAACGGGAAGAGCCCAAACCAACAAGCUUGCUUGUUGGGGUUGUAGGACACUCUAUACGGAGUUACAAAGGACGACAUUAGACGAAUCAUCUGGAAAGAUGAAUCAAAGAAGGUAAUAAUCCUGUAGUCGAAAAUGUUGUCUCUCUUGAGUGGAUCCUGAGUACGACGGAACACGUGAAAUUCCGUCGGAAUCUGGGAGGACCAUCUCCUAAGGCUAAAUACUCUCUAGUGACCGAUAGUGAACCAGUACCGUGAGGGAAAGGUGAAAAGCACCCCGGAAGGGGAGUGAAAUAGAACCUGAAACCGUGUGCUUACAAGUAGUCAGAGCCCGUUAAUGGGUGAUGGCGUGCCUUUUGUAGAAUGAACCGGCGAGUUACGAUUUGAUGCAAGGUUAAGCAGUAAAUGUGGAGCCGUAGCGAAAGCGAGUCUGAAUAGGGCGUUUAGUAUUUGGUCGUAGACCCGAAACCAGGUGAUCUACCCUUGGUCAGGUUGAAGUUCAGGUAACACUGAAUGGAGGACCGAACCGACUUACGUUGAAAAGUGAGCGGAUGAACUGAGGGUAGCGGAGAAAUUCCAAUCGAACCUGGAGAUAGCUGGUUCUCUCCGAAAUAGCUUUAGGGCUAGCCUCAAGUGAUGAUUAUUGGAGGUAGAGCACUGUUUGGACGAGGGGCCCCUCUCGGGUUACCGAAUUCAGACAAACUCCGAAUGCCAAUUAAUUUAACUUGGGAGUCAGAACAUGGGUGAUAAGGUCCGUGUUCGAAAGGGAAACAGCCCAGACCACCAGCUAAGGUCCCAAAAUAUAUGUUAAGUGGAAAAGGAUGUGGCGUUGCCCAGACAACUAGGAUGUUGGCUUAGAAGCAGCCAUCAUUUAAAGAGUGCGUAAUAGCUCACUAGUCGAGUGACACUGCGCCGAAAAUGUACCGGGGCUAAACAUAUUACCGAAGCUGUGGAUUGUCCUUUGGACAAUGGUAGGAGAGCGUUCUAAGGGCGUUGAAGCAUGAUCGUAAGGACAUGUGGAGCGCUUAGAAGUGAGAAUGCCGGUGUGAGUAGCGAAAGACGGGUGAGAAUCCCGUCCACCGAUUGACUAAGGUUUCCAGAGGAAGGCUCGUCCGCUCUGGGUUAGUCGGGUCCUAAGCUGAGGCCGACAGGCGUAGGCGAUGGAUAACAGGUUGAUAUUCCUGUACCACCUAUAAUCGUUUUAAUCGAUGGGGGGACGCAGUAGGAUAGGCGAAGCGUGCGAUUGGAUUGCACGUCUAAGCAGUAAGGCUGAGUAUUAGGCAAAUCCGGUACUCGUUAAGGCUGAGCUGUGAUGGGGAGAAGACAUUGUGUCUUCGAGUCGUUGAUUUCACACUGCCGAGAAAAGCCUCUAGAUAGAAAAUAGGUGCCCGUACCGCAAACCGACACAGGUAGUCAAGAUGAGAAUUCUAAGGUGAGCGAGCGAACUCUCGUUAAGGAACUCGGCAAAAUGACCCCGUAACUUCGGGAGAAGGGGUGCUCUUUAGGGUUAACGCCCAGAAGAGCCGCAGUGAAUAGGCCCAAGCGACUGUUUAUCAAAAACACAGGUCUCUGCUAAACCGUAAGGUGAUGUAUAGGGGCUGACGCCUGCCCGGUGCUGGAAGGUUAAGAGGAGUGGUUAGCUUCUGCGAAGCUACGAAUCGAAGCCCCAGUAAACGGCGGCCGUAACUAUAACGGUCCUAAGGUAGCGAAAUUCCUUGUCGGGUAAGUUCCGACCCGCACGAAAGGCGUAACGAUUUGGGCACUGUCUCAACGAGAGACUCGGUGAAAUCAUAGUACCUGUGAAGAUGCAGGUUACCCGCGACAGGACGGAAAGACCCCGUGGAGCUUUACUGUAGCCUGAUAUUGAAAUUCGGCACAGCUUGUACAGGAUAGGUAGGAGCCUUUGAAACGUGAGCGCUAGCUUACGUGGAGGCGCUGGUGGGAUACUACCCUAGCUGUGUUGGCUUUCUAACCCGCACCACUUAUCGUGGUGGGAGACAGUGUCAGGCGGGCAGUUUGACUGGGGCGGUCGCCUCCUAAAAGGUAACGGAGGCGCUCAAAGGUUCCCUCAGAAUGGUUGGAAAUCAUUCAUAGAGUGUAAAGGCAUAAGGGAGCUUGACUGCGAGACCUACAAGUCGAGCAGGGUCGAAAGACGGACUUAGUGAUCCGGUGGUUCCGCAUGGAAGGGCCAUCGCUCAACGGAUAAAAGCUACCCCGGGGAUAACAGGCUUAUCUCCCCCAAGAGUUCACAUCGACGGGGAGGUUUGGCACCUCGAUGUCGGCUCAUCGCAUCCUGGGGCUGUAGUCGGUCCCAAGGGUUGGGCUGUUCGCCCAUUAAAGCGGUACGCGAGCUGGGUUCAGAACGUCGUGAGACAGUUCGGUCCCUAUCCGUCGUGGGCGUAGGAAAUUUGAGAGGAGCUGUCCUUAGUACGAGAGGACCGGGAUGGACAUACCUCUGGUGUACCAGUUGUCGUGCCAACGGCAUAGCUGGGUAGCUAUGUGUGGACGGGAUAAGUGCUGAAAGCAUCUAAGCAUGAAGCCCCCCUCAAGAUGAGAUUUCCCAACUUCGGUUAUAAGAUCCCUCAAAGAUGAUGAGGUUAAUAGGUUCGAGGUGGAAGCAUGGUGACAUGUGGAGCUGACGAAUACUAAUCGAUCGAAGACUUAAUCAA